AAAAAACACUAGGGGUGCCUUUGUGGCUGAGAUGGAAUUAUCCAAUCCCUUGGAACCUGUAAGUUAAUACUUGCGUAGGGAAUGUGUGCUGUUUUACUG
rfam:Lactobacillus senioris DSM 24302 = JCM 17472 strain DSM 24302 NODE_8, whole genome shotgun sequence.